UGUGAUGAGUCUUUCACGUCAUUUCCUGUGU
rnacentral:piRNA from 2 species